rnacentral:rRNA from 1 species
GAUGAACGCUGGCGGCGUGCUUAACACAUGCAAGUCGAACGGAAAGGCUCCUGCUUGCAGGGGUACUCGAGUGGCGAACGGGUGAGUAACACGUGGGUGAUCUGCCCUGCACUUCGGGAUAAGCCUGGGAAACUGGGUCUAAUACCGGAUAGGACCACAUUUUGGAUGGUGUGGUGGAAAGUUUUUCGGUGUGGGAUGAGCUCGCGGCCUAUCAGCUUGUUGGUAGGGUAAUGGCCUACCAAGGCGUCGACGGGUAGCGGGCCUGAGAGGGUGUACGGCCACAUUGGGACUGAGAUACGGCCCAGACUCCUACGGGAGGCAGCAGUGGGGAAUAUUGCACAAUGGGCGCAAGCCUGAUGCAGCGACGCCGCGUGGGGGAUGACGGCCUUCGGGUUGUAAACUCCUUUCGCUAGGGACGAAGCGCAAGUGACGGUACCUGGAGAAGAAGCACCGGCUAACUACGUG